rfam:Deltaproteobacteria bacterium GWD2_55_8 gwd2_scaffold_848, whole genome shotgun sequence.
AAAGUGGAUCAAGCGGUCGCUGCUCGCCAGGUCGCGAGACGUGGCGGGGAGAGGAAAGUCCGGACUCCAUAGGGCAGGGUGGCUGUUAACGGCGGCCCCGAGCGAUCGGGGGAAAGUGCCACAGAAAAGAUACCGCCCGCCGAUUUUUAUGGCGGGUAAGGGUGAAAAGGCGAGGUAAGAGCUCACCGGUCUGCCAGUAAUGGUAGAUGCCUGGUAAACCCCACCUGGAGCAAGACCAAAUAGGAGGGUUGGGUGGUCCGCCCAUAGCCCUCGGGUAAGGUCGCCAGACCUUAUGAGCAAUCAUAGGGCAAGAUGAAUGAUCGCUGUGGCUCCUCAUAGGAGCCGCGACAGAAUCCGGCUUAUCGAUCCACUUUAGCC